rnacentral:rRNA from 1 species
GACAGAGGGUGCAAACGUUGUUCGGAAUUACUGGGCGUAAAGGGCGCGUAGGCGGAUACUUAAGUCGGGGGUGAAAGCCCGGGCUCAACCUCGGAAUUGCCUUCGAUACCUGGGUAUCUUGAGUUCGGGAGAGGUGAGUGGAAUGCCGAGUGUAGAGGUGAAAUUCGUAGAUAUUCGGCGGAACACCAGUGGCGAAGGCGACUCACUGGCCCGAUACUGACGCUGAUGCGCGAAAGCGUGGGGAGCAACAGG